UUUUGACUUAUGACCAUCACUCUAGACGUUUAUGUUUUGGUGUUGGCCCUUGAUGCUCAUUUGAACGCAACGGACGUGAUUGCAACCCCUUGUUGAGAUUUAUCCGAUCUCUACGUUCACUGAACCACACUCUUUAGCGAGAGCAGUGGGGAUGUGGAUAAACUCGGGGGACUGCUGACUAUAAACUUUUCUCAAACCAGAGGAAGGUUGCGGCAAUAACAGGUCUGUGAUGCCCUCAGAUGUUCCGGGCUGCACACGUGCUACAUUUAGUAGCGCAGUGUGCACAUUAAUAGAGUGAUAGGUUCCGUGGUUUGUACAUUUUAAGGGCUCGUCCUAGUAACCAAAGCUCCACGAGACAUAUCAACCUACCCCUUACAGGGCGGGUAACCUCUUCGAAGUGCUGGCAUGAUUUCCCUAGUUUUGGCAUUUGAAUCCUUGUCGCAGCAGCCCUGAGACGUAGUGAACGCUGCAAAGUGAUUCCAGUCUUAGGUUUGCGACACAUGCAAUUCCUGGUUGACUCAUCGUGGGGACUGAUUCUUGUAAUUAUUUUUCACGGUUCAACCAGGAAUGCCUUGUACCGGCGGCUCAUUAAACCACCCGAAAUACGUCC
rnacentral:rRNA from 1 species